rnacentral:rRNA from 1 species
GGAGCUAAGGUGAGGCCGUAGGGCGUAACCGAUGCACAGCAGGUCAACAUUCCUGCACCGGCAGGGGAUUAGGCGACGGGUAACGCAGAGAGAAAAGUGCCUACGUCAUUGAAAGACAGAGCGGAGGCUUCGGCCGAAGCGCAGCACCGGACAAUCUGCCGAGAAAAGCCCGUCGUCGUGCCCCGGCCGCCCGUACCGUAAACCGACACAGGUGGGUGGGUGUAAGCGCACCAAGGCGCGCGAGAGAAACCUCUCUAAGGAACUCGGCACAUUAGCCCCGUAACUUCGGGAGAAGGGGUGCCCCCCUCGGGGGGUCUCAGUAAAUUGCGUUUAGCGACUGUUUAACAAAAACACAGCACUCUGCCAAGUCGUCAAGACGACGUAUAGGGUGUGACACGUGACCAAUGCGGAAAGAUCAAGGUGAGCUGUCAGCCGCAAGGCGAAGCGGCGAACCCAAGUCCCCGUGAAUGUCGGCCGUAACUAUAACGGUCCUAAGGUAGCGAAAUUCCUUGUCGGGUAAGUUCCGACCUGCACGAAUCGUGUAACGACUGAACGACUGUCUCGGAGAGGAUCUCGGCGAAACUGUAAUUGCGGUGAAGAUGCCGCAUGCCCGCAGUAGGACGGAAAGACCCUAUGCACCUUCACUGUAAGCUGGCAUUGGGUUUUGAUUAAUGAUGCGUAGCGUAGGUGGGAGACUUUGAACCGCAGGCUUCGGUUUGCGGGGAGUCGCAAUGUGAAACACCACUCUUCGUUAAUUAGAAUUCUAACCCCGACCUGUCAUCCAGGCGGGGGACAGUGCUUGCCGGUCAGUUUGGCUGGGGCGGCUUCCUCCCAAAUGGUAACGGAGGAGCGCGAAGCUCGGCUCAGCACGGUUGGCAGCCGUGCGACGAGGGUAUGGCUAGAAGCCGGGUUAACUGUGAGACCAACAAGUCAAGCAGAUGCGAAAGCAGGCCCAAAUGAUCCGAUGGUUUAAUGUGGAAUUGCCAUCGCUCAACGGACAAAAGGUACGCUAGGGAUAACAGGCUGAUCGGGCCCAAGAGUUCAUAUCGACGGCCCGGUUUGGCACCUCGAUGUCGGCUCAUCGCAUCCUGGGGCUGGAGAAGGUCCCAAGGGUCCGGCUGUUCGCCGGUUAAAGCGGUACGCGAGCUGGGUUCAGAACGUCGUGAGACAGUUCGGUCCUUAUCCACUGUGGGCGGAGGAAACUUGAGGGGUUCAUUCCUUAGUACGAGAGGACCGGGAAUGACGCACUUCUGGUGUGGCAGUUGUUCCGUCAGGGGCAUCGCUGCGUAGCCAUGUGCGGAAGGGAUAAGCGCUGAAAGCAUCUAAGUGCCAAGCCCAUCCCAAGAUAAUGUUUCCCUGGUCGCAAGGCCCUAAAGACUCCGGGUAGACCACCCGGUUGAUAGGUCAGGCGUGCAAGCGCUGCAAGGCGCUCAGCGGACUGAUACUAAUAUGUCGUGAGGCUUGAUCC